rnacentral:rRNA from 1 species
UACGUAGGCAGCGAGCGUUGUUCGGAAUUACUGGGCGUAAAGAGUGUGUAGGCGGUGUUCCAAGUUCGGUGUGAAAUCUCCCGGCUUAACUGGGAGGGUGCGCCGAAAACUGGAAUGCUCGAGCGUGGGAGAGGAAAGCGGAAUUCCUGGUGUAGCGGUGAAAUGCGCAGAUAUCAGGAAGAACACCAAUGGCGAAGGCAGCUCUCUGGGACGGUACGGACACUGAGACGCGAAAGCGUGGGGAGCGAACAGG